GACAGAGGUGCCAAGCGUUAGGCGGAAUCACUGGGCUUAAAGCGUGUGUAGGCGGAUGUCUAAGUACCUUGUGAAAUCCCACGGCUCAACCGUGGAACUGCUUGGUAUACUGGAUGUCUUGAGCCAUCUAGGGGCUACCGGAACAAAUGGUGGAGCGGUGAAAUGCGUAGAUAUCAUUUGGAACGCCAAUGGUGAAAACAGGUAGCUGGGGAUGUGCUGACGCUGAGACACGAAAGCCAGGGGAGCAAACAGGG
rnacentral:rRNA from 1 species